UGUACUGCCGAUCUCUGCAGCCUCUCUCUCUCAGCGCGUCUGUGUGUCAGUGGUUUUCAGGAACCAAGCCCAGGUCACACACGCCACACAUACUGGUUUCCUCAUCGACACUGAGGCUGCGCCUUAGCACGAGGCGAACACAGGCAGCUUGACAGCGACAGAGCCACCGGAGAGACAGCCUGGAGCUCAGGAGUGCUGGGGAGUGAGACAGCACUGGAGUUCAGGGGUGCAGGAGUGACCGAGAGAGUGAGACAGCACUGGAGCUCAGGAGUGCAGGAGUGGAGAGAGUGAGACAGCACUGGAGUUCAGGAGUGCAGGAGUGGAGAGAGUGAGACAGCACUGGAACUCAGGAGUGCUGGGGAGUGACAGCGAGAGAGUGAGACAGAACUGGAGCUCAGGAGGGCAGGAGUGGAGAAAGUGAGACAGCACUGGAGCUCAGGAGUGCUGGGGAGUGAAGGCAAGAGAGUGAGACAGCACUGGAGCUCAGGAGUGCUGGGGAGUGACAGUGAGAGGGUGAGACAGCACUGGAGGUCAGGAGUGCUAGGCAGUAACAGCAGCAGCAGAGAUGGCUCCCUGGACCCUCACUACCAAGGAGAAAUAUGGAGUGGCCAUCUGGAACUUCCCCGGGAAGGAGCAGCAUUGUCUCCCCCUGCAGGCGGGAGACACCGUGUACAUCCUCGAGCUCUGUGGAGGGUGGUACAGAGGCUACACUCUGAAGAACAGGGCUGUCUGGG